rnacentral:lncRNA from 7 species
AUCCGUGGCUGGAGCUAGCUAGCUAGCGCCACCGCCACACGACAACACACGCUGCCGGAGCCCGGAGGUCGGAGCGCACAGUUGUGUUCGUUCCGCCUCGUGGCUUGCAUUGCAUUGUCAUCAUCGCAAGUGCGCAGUGCUACAUUAUUGCUAUUGCUACAGAGAGACAGACGCCUCGUGGCGAAGAAUGGGCAGGCAAUCUACUGAUGCUUCUCUCCUCCUCGCCGCGUCAGUUGCAGUGACAACGUACUGCCUCGCUUUCACCACCCACACCUGCAUGCACACUGCUCCUGGAGUCCUGAUUGAUUAUUGACAUGCAUGCCUGCAAGACCGCAUGCAUCAUGCAUCGGCGCUGCUUGGCCCCACCGGCACAGGCACGGCCCAUGGGCCAUCAAUGCCCGCUUCAAGUGACACGUACUUGGACUUCCAUAGUUCCACUACCACUACACUGCUACCAACCAACCAUGCGUACUACUCGCUCCGUUCCAAACUACUUAUAUAUCUCGCAUCUUAAGAUAUCGACCAUUUUUUUAAUUUAACUAAAUUUGUACUCCGUAACAAUAAUAAUAUCCUUAAUUAGGUUUAAAUAAAAAAAUAUGGUACUAUUUAUCUAACAAAAUUUAUUUAAGAUUGUAGACGUUAUAUAUGUAUCCAAAAAACUACACUUAUUUU